rnacentral:rRNA from 1 species
AUUGAACGCUGGCGGCAGGCCUAACACAUGCAAGUCGAACGGUAGCACAGGAGAGCUUGCUCUUCGGGUGACGAGUGGCGGACGGGUGAGUAAUGCAUGGGGAGCUGCCCAAUCGAGGGGGAUACCAGCUGGAAACGGCUGCUAAUACCGCAUACGCCCUGAGGGGGAAAGGUGGGGACCUUCGGGCCUACCGCGAUUGGAUGCACCCAUGUGGGAUUAGCUAGUUGGUGAGGUAACGGCUCACCAAGGCGACGAUCUCUAGCUGGUCUGAGAGGAUGACCAGCCACACUGGAACUGAGACACGGUCCAGACUCCUACGGGAGGCAGCAGUGGGGAAUAUUGCACAAUGGGGGAAACCCUGAUGCAGCCAUGCCGCGUGUGUGAAGAAGGCCUUCGGUUGGUUAAAGACACUUUCUAGCGAGGGAGGAAAGGGGUGAGUGCGUAAUACCAUCAUCCUGUGACGUUACUCGCAGAAGAAGACCG